CUGCUUCCAUACCUGUCGGGUUUUGAGCUUGCAAGGAGCUCCCUCUGAGCUGUGCCCUUGCUGUGGGGUUGGGGCCUGGGAUAUUGUGCUAUACUGAGCUUUAAAUUACCCGGUAACAAAGUACAUUCAUAUGGCAUUUUUUAUUGCUUGGCUAGCUGCUUUUUUUCUGUUUUAAUAGGUCUCAAAACUUCCCUGAGCUUGACAGACUGGAAUAGAUCGAAUCCACCCACCCGAAAAAAUCCCAACAUUCAGCAAUUUGGCAAAGGAAGUGGAGGGUCACCUGUCCCUGAGCACGGUGUCCAGUGUUUUGUGUCUUCCAGCCCCUGGGUUACAUAUCAGAUGGGGCCAAGCUUUUAAAAGUAGGGAGGAUCCAAAGUAGCAUGAGAAACCGGAGCUUCUGCUAUGGAUGGCACAAAGCGAGAGUGACUCUCAGGGGCUUUGGCCUGUGUCACAACUGUGAAGCUUAAUGCUAGGUAUUUUCAAAACUAACCAUCUUCUAUACAUCAUUUUUAUCCAGCACUAACCAUUGGUUAUACCUCCCUCUAGUGGAAGGAUUUUGGGUAGAUGCCCAUCCAGCAUAGCUUUCUUCUAGCAUGGCUGGCUCAAUGAUUCAGAUCAGCUGCCUUGGUAAACAUGUCAUUUGUAGGAGUCCGUAUCCCGGGGAGCUCUUUUUCCUAUGAUACCACAUUUGGACUAUUAGCCCUCUUUCCCAUUCCCAGUGAUGCUGAACAAACGUUAAGAAAAUCUGAGUGUGGCAGUGUUUUUGUCGCUGUGGUAGUCCAGGGAAUUUGAGAGGAGCAAGGGUUUUCCUGGUAAUAUCUUUUAUUGGACUAACUGCACAGUUGGGAGAGAUGUUAAACGAGCAUGAUGUGAAGGCAGCUCGUCUAACCUCUCCCCCAGCUAUCCAGCUGGUCCAAAUAAAAGAUACUGCCAAAACCCCCUUUGCUUCAAGAAAAUCUGAGUCAGCCUGUGCAUUUUAGAGCACUUAAGUCACUGAUUCUUUGAAAAAUUACCAUUCUCUCAAUCUUACCUACAGCUCAGCUCUUUCUCUGCCCUAAUUUGCUGGCUGUAUUGCAGUAGUGCCCAUGGCUAUAGACAUUUCAAGUGUGAGACUAUUUUUCUGUAUCUGUUCAUCCACUAUGGGACACUAGUCUGAGAAAAGUCACUCAUCAGAGGAGAAUCGCAUCAGCAGUGUCAUAAUGAGAGAUUGGUAAAACCUGUAUUAUGGCAGCAUUUAGAGGUGCCAGUCACAGAUCAGCUCCCAUUUGAAGGUGGCUGUAUCAUUAUCCUGUCGGCAAGGCAGCCCUCUCAUCUAACAGGCACUGAGGCAGGGGGUGGAGGUGUGCGUGUGUGCAGAGAUAUGUAUGGGGCUGUGUGCAUACAGAUGUGUGCAUGUGUGUCUGUGCAUGCAUGUGCCCCUUUCUGCUCCUCACCAAAUACAUGUGGUUUUAAUCUCUCUCCCCUGAGCUCAUAGGAGCCUUUCAGCUCUGUCCUGGCUGCGUUGCUCUUAUUGCUCCUCAUCCCAUGCCCCUGUCACUGGUAACUUCUCUGGGAUUUUUCUGCAGUGCUUGAAAACCCCACAGACACGCAUUUCCCUGCAAAUAACCAACCCCCACAGCAGCCUGACCAGCAGCAACAGGAGACCUGAGAUUGAAAAUGCCCCUGGAAAGAUUCCCAGAGGAGAAGGUGUGCAAGGCCAGAGAGAUGGAUGCUAAACAAGGACUCCAUGUUCAGCAUGGUCAGAGGAUAACCCACUGGUCCUGUCCCUUUGCUAAGGCAAUGACACCAGGGAAAGCUAUAAGCAGCCCUGUGCUAGAAGGACUGGCUAACUCCUGGCUUGACAAUGGCCAUAAAGCCUUUUGCCUUCAGGUCAGCUGGCUUGAACCCUGCAUGGGUUGUCAGCAGCUGAAAGCAAUUGCCUUCCAGCAAAAGGUUGAUUUGAUCCUGCCUUUCCUGUUCACAGGCAACUAGCUGAGAAAGUCUGUGCUUUUUGCCUGUUGCAGAAACACUCUCCUGCAGGGCAGACGGGUUGUGAAAAUACAGCCGCUUCUCUGCAUGCUCUUCAGUCCAGUGCAAGCCAUGUACGUGCAUAUUGAGCAUGGUGCAUAAUAGGACACCUGUCCCAGUUUUUUGGUUUGCUUGUUUUUUUUCCUAUUCCUUACUUUAUAGGAAACAGUGAUUAUCUGUGCACUGGCUAAGCACAUACACCCCUUGAAUGCAUAGCAGAGCCUCGUUAUCCCACCCUCUACUCUGCCACGCAACUGAACUCCUUUAAUGGCAUACUCAGUGAUGCUGACUCUGAGCCCUCAAUGUCAAGGCUGCGACCUGAACUGACAAGGCCAAGGCUGUCAUCAGAGGAAUCCAGUGCUCUGGAAAACAAGCGCCAACCAGGGGAGGACAGUGACACCGGCGUGAGAGGAGCCAAGGAGAGGGAUGACACAUGCAGCCAAACCUCCUGGCGCCCGAGCCAGAAGGGCUGAGCCAAAGGCUGGCUGCUGCUCCGGCAGUGAGUCCAUCCACCUCCAACCCCUUCAGCCUCCCAAGUCCUUAAGUUGCCGCUUUUAACUCCCUUGGUGUUCACAGAAAAUAUGAUGCUCAGCAUGAGCGGAAGGAAGAUCCCGCUGACAGGUAGACAGCAUGGACACUGAUCCCGACAAGGCUGGCUGCUGAGAGGUCUCUUAUAAAAUCUGCAAAUUUUCCAUGAUCACGUGACUCCAGGAGGCUAAGAGAAACGCUACGUAUUGCAAAGCUUGAACAAAAAAUCUUCCGAGUUGGCCGCAUGGCCUUUGUAAAAUAAAAUAUUCUCU